UGAUGGACUUGGAUAGAAGAGUAAAGCGUGGGCGAGAACGUCUUGCUCAAGAGGUGGAGCCUGCACCACCACCUCCGCUAACAGCUGAAAAGUCUGAACAACUAUCUGUGCUGGAGGAGAAAAUAAAGAACCUUCUGGAACAAGUUGAAUCUCUGGGUGAAGCGGGGAAGGUUGAUGAAGCUGAAGCACUUAUGAGAAAGGUGCUGAAAAUGAAGCAACACCUCUCUUCACCUGCAUUUGCAAUUGAUGAUUUAUCAAAUUUCCACGGCCCUAAUUACAUAAACAAACUUGAAGAACCUGGAGUUUGGGAUUCUCCGAAUUAAAUUUUUUUGUUGACUUUCUUUAUUCAGGUGGAGACGCUUAAUGCUGAGAAGACAGCCUUAACACAACCUCAAAAUAGGCUCAUCAGCAGGAGGCGCAUAGCUUUCAGGUAGCGGCUGUCUGCACUCAGAGCACUUGCGAACAACCAACUGAAAAGUAUCAAAACCAUAAGCAAAUAUUAGGUGCUCACAUUAAAACUCGAUGAAAACCCAAAAGUGAUACAUGCACAAUUUUUAACAAUUUCAUAUUAAACCAUAACUCCAUAAGCAAAUAUUUAGGUACUUGCAUUAAAACUCACAAAUGGCGCUUAGUGCACGAGACUCUCACCUAGUGGGGUAUGAGGAAGGUAAUUGCAUGUAGCCUUACCUUCGCAAACGAAUAGGCUAUUUCCAGGAUUUGAAACAAUAACCUCCACGUCAUAAGACAAGUAACCUUCCAGGAUUAUAUCUCACUCAGGACACAAGAAAUAUGUGCACGAGUUUUUGCCAAAUUCAUAUUAAACCAUUAGCAAAUAUUUAGGUACUCAAAUUAAAACACACUCACACACAGAAGAAAUGCGUGCAAAUUUUUCAAGCGACUUCUUAUUGCUUGGACUCACAAAUCUAAAACUAUUGAGUGACAUUUUGAUAUAAAACAGAAAAAGCAUAACAAGUUCCCCCAUGUUAACUUCAAAGGAAUAUUGUAAAUUUGUAGGUCUUAUAUUAGGAACUAACAAACAUUCUUUCCUCCCUUUUCUCUUCCACACGAGCCCUCGAAACACCAUAUCAACCAGUGAUGUUUUGAGACAAAAGCAAGAAUGUGAUACACCUCAUUCACAAUAACUUAACAAUUUUAUAUCAAUAACCAACUUCACAAUCUACAAUGUGAUACACCCCCAUUAACAUUGACAUUCUAAUAACAGUAAUCAAAUUAAAUUUGAGGACAAUGUAAUGAUGAGUCAAACCUUGAUCUAUGCCUCAGUCAAGAUCAAGUGGAUUUUGGUGGACAAGGUAAUAAACCAUGUUCCUAUUUCACAGUCCAUAUCUAAAAAAUGAAAACUUAAACAACAUUUGGCCACUGACAAGUAUAAUAAGGUUGAAAUUGCACCUUUCAGCAACGUUUCAUUGAGAUAAAAUUACAGAGAUUUAACAAGUUUUUACCUUUUAGGAGAAAACAUAAGAUUAAGGCAAUAAAGAAAGCAUUUUGAGAAAAGGGUGAAUGAAUAAAAGAGGAAAAUUAACCUGAGGAACAUGAAUGGGUUGAUUGAGUUCACCAGGAGUGAUAUCUUCAAGAGAGGAAUGAUCUUGAUCCUUAGUAAGCUUUACAUAACGUGAUUGCUUCCUUUCUUCCAUCUAUAACACGAUUCAACAAAUCAGAAAUGGAGAAAAGGGAAAAGGAGCAUGUGAGAUGAGAUCUUAAGGUUUACCGAGAAGAAGAAUGAGGAAAAGGACACAGUCAAUAUACGUUUCUUUGUGUUGACGCCAGUUUAUAAGGUUGCUGUGUUUUUUAAGUUUUUUUUGUUUUACCCAAGUAUCUCGUACCGAAGGGAAACAUGUCCGAAUUAGGGAUUUACCGGUAUGUAGGUUAACUUUUACCGCAAGAUCUUGCUUGAGGGGAUUCAAACAUGUACUACUUGAACUAAUGUCGGUUAGUCUUUAUUUUUUAGUUUAAUAUUAAAUAUCUCAAUUUUACAAUCAAUCAAUGCUAAUACACGCUAACUCCUUUUAAUAAAACAAGAAUUUCUCUAUGAGAGACACGUUCUUUCUUUGUUUUUUUAUGCUAAAACUUAUAAUUAAUAAGAUAAAUAUAUUCAAUUAUUUCUUAUUAAUAGAAAGUAUUCUAACUUAUUUUUAUUUACAUUAUCUUCAACCAAUAUGGUUGUUCUUGUAUGAAUUAUAUUGUUAGCUUUAGUUUAUAAAUAAACUAUGUGACUUAGAUAAUAAAAGAUAAAUUGUUUAUUUUUUGUUGAAGAUGGCUGGUUGUCAAUAAAAAAUGGAGAAUGAUGUUCCAGACAAAUAGAAUCAAUAUAGUUAUGGUAAAAGAGAAAAAUAUAUAUGUAAUUAUAGUAUAAGAAUUUUUUAUACUAUUAUUAUAUUAUUUAUCGUUCAUUUUUUUUUACUAUUAUAAAAAAAAAAGUAAGCAAGAUAAAGAGCAAAUGAUAUACUAACAAUUAUACAUAUUAUAUUACCAAUACAUAACUAUUACAUUCAUCUUUUAAUACAUUGUGUAUAAAAUAAAUAGGUGAAGUUAGGACCAUUGAAGAGUGUGGAUAAACCAAUUUACAAUAUUGCUGGCCCCAUAAACUCAACCUAGAAACAAUCAUAUAAUAUUAAAAAAAAACAAUCAACCAUAUGGAAAAAAAAUCAUGCAGUCAUAAACAAUCGGUACUUUUUAUGUUUUAGAAAUUUAAUAUAUAUUUUAUAAUUUACAUGUUCAUCAUGUUUUUAUAUUACUCAUUUUUUCCACUAUGUUAUUUCUCAUUUUUUAAACUUAUUUGCUAAGGUCAUUAAAUUAUUUUAGACAAUCAUAUAAAUUUAGCAUUUGCUAUAUAAUAAUAAUAAUAACAUUAAGGGUGGGGUUAGAGAAUUAUACACUAUGAUCCAUGAUUUAUUUAUAUUAUAUUUUUUAGAAAUUAAUAAUAAUUGAAUACAUAAUGAAUUAUGAAGUGAUUGUUUCUAAAGGUAAAGUGUGAGGGGUGUAUAUUUUCUCAUACAAUUUUGUUAAAUUCACUUUAUAAACUCAAUUCGUAUUUUUUUUCGUUACAUUUCACACUCUUCUCAUUCAUUCCACUUUUAUCAAAUUCGAAAGGAAUUAGGGUUUUCUCGUAACCGCCAUGGACGCUCAGAGAGCUCUUCUGGAUGAACUCAUGGGUGCAGGUAUUUUUUUAUAUUAUCAUCUGAUUCAUUCUUAAUCGUUCGUAAAUUCGUUAUUUCAAGUUUAAUGAUUUUUUGUGUUAUUCUUAUUGUGUGAAAAAAGCUCGGAACUUGACGGAUGAAGAGAGAAAGGGAUACAAGGAAGUGAAUUGGGAUGAUAAGGAAGUGUGUGGUUCCUACAUGGUUCGCUUUUGCCCUCACGAUCUAUUCGUCAACACACGCAGUGAUCUAGGUCCGUUUCAUUAUCAUUGCAUUUGCUACAUUUGAAACCCUAUUUUAAUCAAUCAAUUAUAUAAAUUGGAGUAUCUAUGUCAACUGUAUCCAAGUUUUGUAGAACUAUUUCUUAGUUGCUAGCCGCCGCAGGCUUAUCCGGUCCGGAGUAUAGAACUAUGUUAACUUCCGAGAGGAAAACGCGCUAUCGGAUAGAAAUACACUAGGUAAACAUGAUAGGCUAACAUUCUGCUGGCUCACCAAACUGUGGAUUACAACAUGACAGGACAGGUUAUUCUAUCGUGUCUCUCUCUUAUCAUGUCCACCGAAUGAUCCGUAAAGUUGAGAGAUAUUGGUUCCAAUAGAAAGGUUGAAUCAAGGAUAAUAGAACAUAAUGCAUAACACUGUAGUGGCUAAAAUUUAUCCAUGUUUUACUUACCUUAAUCAUACAUUGAACAAAAUGUAUAUUCCCAAUAAGUGAGACAAAAAUCAGGCACAUGUUAUUAAGGAUACCGACAAAAUUAUAGGUGCCCCUUGAAGAAAAUAUGCAUACCAGAUGAAUUCAAUUUUUUUAUAAUUAGUCAUGAAAUUUGAGUUUGAUGACAUUCCAAUUUACCAAUGGUGUGUUACUUCCUGCAUUAGAUUGUUAGGCUCUGGUAAAAGAGAAGUAACAACUUGAUUUUAAAGUGUUUUGUUUUAUAUGUUUAUGUAAUCUUUAACUGAGGUUAGUUAAUUAGUUCAGAAGAAGUUUUGGAGGAAGGUUCUAAUAUCUAAAUUAUGUUUGUUGAUUUUCUUAAGCAACAAUGUGGAUGUUCUGUAUUGUGAUACCUAUGUUGUGGCUGAAGCUUGACAUAUAUCUUGUUUUUAACAUGCUUUAAAUUGGUGUAGGACCUUGCCCAAGAAUACAUGAUCAGAAGUUGAAAGAAAGGUGAAGUAGUAAAGUUAUUCAUAUAUAAUUUAGUUUUCUAUUGAUCACCUCUACCUGGACAUUUAAUUUGGUUUUUAAAAUUUUGGCAGAUUCUGUUACAUAAUUGUAUAUUUUUAGUCUUCUAAUUAAAUAACUAGUCUCUCAAUGUGUGUGGAGAUAUCCUGGUCAAAAACCCAAACUAUAGAUGUACCUUACUGGUAUUGCAUCACCGCACAUGUUUAUUCUCCUCUGUCAGAAAUUUACAUGUGAUAACAAGAUAUGACUAUGGUCACUUGGUCAAUAAAGAUGUACCUCAAGUUACUUCCCUUCUCAUGUUUACUAUCAUGUGCAGAGUUUACCUUGUCAUAUGUACAUGUGAUAACAAGAUAUGCUGAUAGAUGAAAGCACAAACAUCAUUGCAUUGUGUUUAGUUUGUCCUAUAAUUGUGUUUCACAUUUAAUGGGGUUUACUAUGUUUGUGACUUCAGCUUUGAGAAAUCCCCAAGACAUGAUGCAUUUGUCCCCAAAUUUGAAGCUGAACUUGCUCAGUUUUGUGAGAAAUUGGUAACCUUUGUCUUCCUCUCCCAACACCAAGGAAUUAAUAUUUUUUCCAUGUCAAUAAUUCAUUCUUCAUAUUUUCUAAUUUAUGGUUAUAAUUAUAGGUGAUGGACUUGGAUAGAAGAGUAAAGCGUGGGCGAGAACGUCUUGCUCAAGAGGUGGAGCCUGCACCACCACCUCCGCUAACAGCUGAAAAGUCUGAACAACUAUCUGUGCUGGAGGAGAAAAUAAAGAACCUUCUGGAACAAGUUGAAUCUCUGGGUGAAGCGGGGAAGGUUGAUGAAGCUGAAGCACUUAUGAGAAAGGUGCUGAAAAUGAAGCAACACCUCUCUUCACCUGCAUUUGCAAUUGAUGAUUUAUCAAAUUUCCACGGCCCUAAUUACAUAAACAAACUUGAAGAACCUGGA
rnacentral:lncRNA from 1 species